rnacentral:rRNA from 1 species
UACGAAGGGGGCUAGCGUUGCUCGGAAUCACUGGGCGUAAAGCGCACGUAGGCGGCUUCUUAAGUCAGGGGUGAAAUCCUGGAGCUCAACUCCAGAACUGCCUUUGAUACUGAGGAGCUCGAGUCCGGGAGAGGUGAGUGGAACUCCGAGUGUAGAGGUGAAAUUCGUAGAUAUUCGGAAGAACACCAGUGGCGAAGGCGGCUCACUGGCCCGGUACUGACGCUGAUGUGCGAAAGCGUGGGGAGCAAACAGG